GGGUGCUUAGCUCAGCUGGGAGAGCACAUCCUUCACACGGAUGGGGUCGUAGGUUCGAGUCCUAUAGUACCCACCA
rnacentral:tRNA from 2 species